rfam:Picea glauca, whole genome shotgun sequence.
CUAGGCCUUUAUUUAUUUCUUCUAUGACAUUUUUCUCAGUUUGUUUUAGUUGGUUUUGCAACUGGACUAUCCUAUGGUUACUUUGUUUCAACCUUGUUCUCAUAUUGUCAACAAGACCUCAGCCUGCUAACUAGCUACGCUGAGGUUUCCCUUCGUGGCCAGCUUCUUAGAGGGACUAUGGCCGUUUAGGCCAUGGAAGUUUGAGGCAAUAAUAGGUCCGUGAUGCCCUUAGAUGUUUUGG